rnacentral:rRNA from 1 species
GAUGAACGCUAGCUACAGGCUUAACACAUGCAAGUCGAGGGGUAACGAGAGGAAAGCUUGCUUUCCUUGUCGACGACCGGCGCACGGGUGAGUAACGCGUAUCCAACCUGCCCCCAACUAGGGAAUAACCUUGCGAAAGUAAGACUAAUACCCUAUAAUUUCCUCAGAUGUCAUCUGACGAGGAAUAAAGAUUUAUCGGUUGUGGAUGGGGAUGCGUCUGAUUAGCUUGUUGGCGGGGUAACGGCCCACCAAGGCAACGAUCAGUAGGGGUUCUGAGAGGAAGGUCCCCCACAUUGGAACUGAGACACGGUCCAAACUCCUACGGGAGGCAGCAGUGAGGAAUAUUGGUCAAUGGGCGGAAGCCUGAACCAGCCAAGUAGCGUGCAGGAUGACGGCCCUAUGGGUUGUAAACUGCUUUUAUACAGGAAUAAAGUUAGCCACGUGUGUUUAUUUGUAGGUACUGUAUGAAUAAGGACCGGCUAAUUCCGUGCCAGCCGCCGCCGUAAAAC